GACGAACGCUGGCGGCGUGCUUAACACAUGCGAGUCGAACGAUGAACCCGGAGCUUGCUCUGGGGGAUUAGUGGCGAACGGGUGAGUAACACGUGAGUAACCUGCCCUGGACUCUGGGAUAAGCGUUGGAAACGACGUCUAAUACCGGAUAGGACCUUGGAUCGCAUGAUCUGGGGUGGAAAGUUUUUUCGGUCUGGGAUGGACUCGCGGCCUAUCAGCUUGUUGGUGAGGUAAUGGCUCACCAAGGCGUCGACGGGUAGCCGGCCUGAGAGGGUGACCGGCCACACUGGGACUGAGACACGGACCAGACUCCUGCGGGAGGCAGCAGUGGGGAAGAUGGCACAAUGGGCGAAGGCCUGAUGCAGCAACGCCGCGUGCGGGAUGACGGCCUUCGGGUUGUGAACCGCUUUUAGUAGGGAAGAAGGGCUUCGGCUUGACGGUACCUGCAGAAAAAGGACCGGCUAACUACGUG
rnacentral:rRNA from 1 species